rnacentral:rRNA from 1 species
GAGUUUGAUCUUGGCUCAGGACGAACGCUGGCGGCGUGCCUAAUACAUGCAAGUCGAACGCACUGACAGAGAAACUUGUUUCUCUUGACGUGAGUGGCGCACGGGUGAGUAACACGUGGGAAACCUACCCUUCAGCGGGGGAUAACCGGUCGGAAACGAUGGCUAAUACCGCAUAGGUCUUUUAAUCGCCUGGUUGAAAGAGGAAAGACGGCUUCGGCUGUCACUGAAGGAUGGUCCCGCGGUGCAAUUAGCUAGUUGGUAAGGUAACGGCUUACCAAGGCGAUGAUGCAUAGCCG